GGAAAGUGGGAAGGAGUAAAAGUUUUGAGGAAAAAGUAAAAAAGUUUGGGAGUUUAGGGUAAAAAUGUAAAAUAUUAUAGUUUGAUAUUCGAAUUAUUCGAAUUAUUCGAGUUAUUCGAAUUCGAAAACUCAACUUGAUUCGAACUCGAAAUUCGAAAAAAAAUUUCGAGUUGAUUCGAAUAACUCGAUUCGUUUAACUCGAAAUUUAAAUUUUUUUUCGAUUUUUUCGAGUCGAAUCGAGUUUUGCUCACCCCUAAUUUUUUUAUUAUGUAUAAUUGUAACUAAGGAGGUAGCUGAAUCAUCUAAGUCCAGAGGGAAGGAAAAAAUUAUGGAAGCGUAACGGUUUCAGUUUGUGCUUACUAAAAG
rnacentral:lncRNA from 1 species